GACGAACGCUGGCGGCGUGCUUAACACAUGCAAGUCGAACGGAAAGGCCCUGCUUUUGUGGGGUGCUCGAGUGGCGAACGGGUGAGUAACACGUGAGUAACCUGCCCUUGACUUUGGGAUAACUUCAGGAAACUGGGGCUAAUACCGGAUAGGAGCUCCUGCUGCAGGGUGGGGGUUGGAAAGUUUCGGCGGUUGGGGAUGGAAUCGCGGCUUAUCAGCUUGUUGGUGGGGUAGUGGAUUAGCAAGGCUUUGACGGGUAGCCGGCCUGAGAGGGUGACCGGCCACAUUGGGACUGAGAUACGGCCCAGACUCCUACGGGAGGCAGCAGUGGGGAAUAUUGCACAAUGGGCGGAAGCCUGAUGCAGCAACGCCGCGUGCGGGAUGACGGCCUUCGGGUUGUAAACCGCUUUCGCCUGUGACGAAGCGUGAGUGACGGUACUGGGUAAAGAAGCACCGGCUAACUACGUG
rnacentral:rRNA from 1 species